rnacentral:rRNA from 2 species
UUGACCUCAAAUCGGGUGAGACUACCCGCUGAACUUAAGCAUAUCAAUAAGCGGAGGAAAAGAAACUAACAAGGAUUCCCCUAGUAACUGCGAGUGAAGCGGGAAAAGCUCAAAUUUAAAAUCUGGUGGUCUUUGGCCGUCCGAGUUGUAAUUUAGAGAAGCGUCUUCCGCGCUGGGCCGUGCACAAGUCUCCUGGAAUGGAGCGUCAUAGAGGGUGAGAAUCCCGUCUUUGGCACGGACACACCAGGGCUUUUGUGAUGCGCUCUCGAAGAGUCGAGUUGUUUGGGAAUGCAGCUCAAAAUGGGUGGUGAACUCCAUCUAAAGCUAAAUAUUGGCGAGAGACCGAUAGCGAACAAGUACCGUGAGGGAAAGAUGAAAAGCACUUUGGAAAGAGAGUGAAACAGUACGUGAAAUUGUUGAAAGGGAAACGCUUGAAGUCAGUCGCGUCGUCCGAGACUCAACCUUGCCUUGGCUUGGUGUAUUUCUCGGUUGACGGGUCAGCAUCAAUUUCGCCCCUUGGAUAAUGGUGAGGGAAAUGUGACACCUUUAUGGUGUGUUAUAGUCUACUUGUCGCAUGCAAGGGUUGGGAUUGAGGAACUCAGCACGCACCUUUUG